UACAGAGGUCUCAAGCGUUGUUCGGAUUCAUUGGGCGUAAAGGGUGUGUAGGUGGCGCCGUAAGUCGGGUGUGAAAUUUCGGAGCUUAACUCCGAAACUGCAUUCGAUACUGCGGUGCUUGAGGACUGGAGAGGAGACUGGAAUUCAUGGUGUAGCAGUGAAAUGCGUAGAGAUCAUGAGGAAGACCAGUGGCGAAGGCGGGUCUCUGGGCAGUUCCUGACACUGAGACACGAAGGCCAGGGGAGCAAACGGG
rnacentral:rRNA from 1 species